rnacentral:miRNA from 1 species
AGACUCUGAGAAGGUCACCCA